UGGUUCAUAGUUUAAGAAGAACGGGAGUUUUGUAGACUUCAAGUGGCUGUGAUGGUCUGAGCUUA
rnacentral:tRNA from 1 species